rnacentral:rRNA from 1 species
GAUGAACGCUGGCGGCGUGCCUAAUACAUGCAAGUCGAGCGAACGGACGAGAAGCUUGCUUCUCUGAUGUUAGCGGCGGACGGGUGAGUAACACGUGGAUAACCUACCUAUAAGACUGGGAUAACUUCGGGAAACCGGAGCUAAUACCGGAUGAUAUUUUGAACCGCAUGGUUCAAAAGUGAAAGACGGUCUUGCUGUCACUUAUAGAUGGAUCCGCGCUGCAUUAGCUAGUUGGUAAGGUAACGGCUUACCAAGGCAACGAUGCAUAGCCGACCUGAGAGAGUGAUCGGCCACACUGGAACUGAGACACGGUCCAGACUCCUACGGGAGGCAGCAGUAGGGAAUCUUCCGCAGUAGGCGAAAGCCUGACGGAGCAACGCCGCGUGAGUGAUGAAGGUCUUCGGAUCGUAAAACUCUGUUAUUAGGGAAGAACAUAUGUGUAAGUAACUGUGCACAUCUUGACGGUACCUAAUCAGAAAGCCACGGCUAACUACGUG